rnacentral:rRNA from 1 species
GACAGAGGGUGCAAACGUUGCUCGGAAUUACUGGGCGUAAAGCGCGUGUAGGCGGACUGAUAAGUCAGAUGUGAAAUCCCCGGGCUCAACUCGGGAACUGCAUUUGAAACUGCUAGUCUGGAGUGAUGGAGAGGAAAGCGGAAUUCCUGGUGUAGAGGUGAAAUUCGUAGAUAUCAGGAGGAACACCGGUGGCGAAGGCGGCUUUCUGGACACUAACUGACGCUGAGACGCGAAAGCGUGGGGAGCAAACAGG